rnacentral:rRNA from 1 species
UACGAAGGGUGCUAGCGUUGUUCGGAAUUACUGGGCGUAAAGCGCGCGUAGGCGGUGAUGCAAGUCAGAGGUGAAAUCCCAGGGCUUAACCCUGGAACUGCCUUUGAAACUGCAUUGCUGGAGUGUGUGAGGGGAUAGCGGAAUUCCUAAUGUAGAGGUGAAAUUCGCAGAUAUUAGGAGGAACACCGGUGGCGAAGGCGGCUAUCUGGCACACAACUGACGCUGAGGCGCGAAAGCGUGGGGAUCAAACAGG